rnacentral:rRNA from 1 species
UACGUAGGGUCCGAGCGUUGUCCGGAAUUAUUGGGCGUAAAGCGCGCGUAGGCGGCCACUUAAGUCGGAUGUGAAAGCCCCUGGCUCAACUGGGGAAGUGCGCCCGAAACUGCAGAGCUUGAGUGCCGGAGAGGGUGGCGGAAUUCCCCAAGUAGAGGUGAAAUUCGUAGAGAUCGGGAGGAACAUCAGUGGCGAAGGCGGCCAUCUGGGACAACACUGACGCUGAAGCACGAAAGCGUGGGGAGCAAACAGG